UUUCACUUCACAUUUCACCCUCUGCUUUCUCUCCGAUUUAGGUUUCUUGUCUUUCUUUCUCUCUCUCUCUACAAACCCAUUUCAAAAUUCAAACCCCCCUCAAACAAACCGAUUUCAAUUUUCACCACGUGAUCUCCGGUGCGAUCCAACGACGAACACUCUCCGUACAAUCUCACCGGUGUAAACACAUUCUUUUCAUCAACAACUUCAGGCAUCUGUUGAGCUACCUUUAUUAUCUUACAAAAGUUAAAGAGGAGAGACUGAACGUAUUGGAAAAAGCGUGAGCAAAAUCUGUAGAGGAUUAAAGUGGGAGAGUGGGGAGCAGUUCAUAAAAGCAUUUUGUUUGAGGGGGGUUUUCAAAAAGAUGAUGAUGAAAGCCAUCUGAAAAUGGCAUGAGCACUAGGAGCUUAAUAACAAGCUACAGACAAGCAGAUGGUUGUUUUGGUGAAGAGCUGUUUAGGCUCUAGAAUUAAAAUAUAGCAAAUUCUUGGCAAUGGAAAGUACUCUUUGAUAAGUGAUCUGAAUGACAGAAUAUUACCAAAGCAGCACCACCUAAGGCUGGUGGGUAAUGAUUCAGAGGUAAAAAGCGUGAAGCGCGCAAAAGCAGGUUCUAUUGGGAGAAGGCUACUACGCCGAAAGAAUGUCCAAACAAACGGUUGAGAUUCUGAAAAGAAGAGGAAAGGUUUUAGAGUCACAGAUUGAAUCGCUUAACGCUGUAAUAAAGGAUCUCAAGUUUGAGGCCUUGUUCUUUGAUGAAACAGCUACCGAGGCUGCUGAGGGUAUUGUAUAAAUAAGAGAAGACUAUGUUGAAGAAGCUUUUAAUGAAGAUAAGGCCACAAAAGCAGGCGAAGAUGAUUUUGCUCGUAUUUUAUCGCGGAUUGCUGAAGAAGGUGAAGAUAAAGAAGAAGUUGAUGAGGCUGAUAUUGAACCUGAGUUUAGAAAUUUAGAGAUAAAGUGUAGGAAGUGUGGAGGCAAAUCACUACAUGCAAAAGGGGCUGGUGAUCUUAACAAACAAGAGAAGAGAUAUUACGAAGCGAUAAGUUUUGAUUCGUUAAAUGGACUGCAUAUAUUCAAGUUGUUUAAAGGGUUACAAGUUUGAUUCGAUAAAUGGAUUGCAGAUAAGUGUCUCUUUCUUCCAAAACUAUUUUUGGUGUUACAAGUUUAGAUUAUGAUGUUUUGCACUUGGCUUGGACUACAGAUACUCAAGUUGUUUAGAUGGUUCUUUCAUGUGGUGUUGAUGGUUCAGGUUCAACUUUGAGAUAUCCUAUGACCCACAUGGCAUAUGACCCGUGGUUCGUGGCCCGUUUCAGGAGGAUGGUUUUGAUAAAUUAAACGUGAGAAUUGAGAUUAUGGCUGCAAUAAACAGUUUAACCAUAACAGUUUGGAAUUGCAAAUGACUAGCUGCAGAAACGAAGACGAAUCCAUAGACCAUGAUUUCACUUGUCUUACAGCCGCGAAUGUUUGGCAGCACAUCAGCUCCUCCUGCGCAAAUCACUCAGAUGCAUUUCUUCUCCGUUAAAGAUAUAUUUGAUUAUCAUAAGCUCUUACCAGAUCAAAGCAGCAAGAGACGGCUCAUGCAAGUGGUUUUGUUGGUCUCUUGCUGGUAUAUUUGACGGGCCAGGAAUAGGUGUAUAUUUUGGGGGAGAUCAAUUUUUGUAGUUACUUGUGGAUUUGCAAUCAGUCAAAGAAGUUGGCUCUAGAUUGGACUAACUGGAAGUGUUUUCAUGUGUAAUUUUGUUUGUUAGCUGUAGUUGUUUUGCUUUGCAUUAGGUUGGUUUCUAAUGAAAGUCGUCGUUCGAAAAAAAAAAUUGUUUGGAUAAUGGCUGCCAAAAAACACGUGCAUGCUAUUUUGAACAAUAAUCAUUGAGCAAGUUGUU